GGCGGAGCAUGCGGAUUAAUUCGAUGCAACGCGAAGAACCUUACCAAGGCUUGACAUACAGGGAAAUCUCGCAGAGAUGUGAGGUCCGCAAGGUCCUGUACAGGUGGUGCAUGGUUGUCGUCAGCUCGUGUCGUGAGAUGUUGGGUUAAGUCCCGCAGCGAGCGCAACCCUCGUCCUAUGUUGCCAGCGGGUCGUGCCGGGGACUCAUAGGAGACUGCCGGGGUCAACUCGGAGGAAGGUGGGAUGACGUCAAAUCAUCAUGCCCCUUAUGUCUUGGGCUUCACGCAUGCUACAAUGGCCAGUACAAAGGGCUGCGAGACCGUGAGGUGGAGCGAAUCCCAAAAAGCUGGUCUCAGUUCGGAUUGGGGUCUGCAACUCGACCCCAUGAAGUCGGAGUCGCUAGUAAUCGCAGAUCAGCAACGCUGCGGUGAAUACGUUCCCGGGCCUU
rnacentral:rRNA from 1 species